CAGGAAUUCCAGACAUGCUACGUUGGCAGAUUCCAGAAGGCCACAUUCUUAGCAACUCGAGCCUGAGUUCCUUGUCUGGAUUUCUCUGGACCCUGCUGACCACCACUUAGAAGACCCGUCACCCCUGCUUCUUCCAGGUUUGAAGGUGGAGUUUCUUCAAGGACACAGAAUUCUCUGGCCAAGUGACUCGCUAGCCUGGCGGGAGCUUGGGGCAGGAUCCUGCCUAUUGCUGUUUGCUGGAAGGGAUGGGAUUCACGUGCCAGCCCAGAAUGGUGUCUCCAUGUUCACUCCCUUUGGUGAGUGUGGAGACAUGAAAUUAGCUGGUUUUUGGAAAACAAGCUCAAUGGCUACCUGGGCCAGGUAUGGAACUGGAUGAGAGGCGCGUGCUGGCAACUGUCAGUGUGGAGCCGUUGCAGGUGUGGUGGGGUUGCCGCAGCUGGAUUGCCAAGCCUGGUCACGGUGAGUGAGCAGCAGUCAUGACUCAGCAGCUGCUGACUGGAGGGGAUACAGACUCUGGGAUGCUAGGACUUGGAACAGUACUCCAGUUUCAGAAGGGACAGCACUAAGUCACUCUUUGAGAAAACAUGUCUCUGACCAGUGGGCCUGGCGUGGCUUGAGGAGUACCAGACUGUGCCUCUGAUCUCACCUGAAACUUUGCCAGUGGCAUGUCUCAAAGUGAGCUACAUUUUACAACUCAAGCAGGCUUAGUCUUGUUGGGAAAAGUAUAAACGGCAGCCGCACCCCAGAGAAAAACCCCAACAUGGCGCCUAAGGACCUCUUCUUCCUACCUUCCUCUUUUCUGCAGUGGCGCGAAAAGUUCCCGUCCGUGGGAACUCUCCCAUCAGCGCCGAUUUCAAAUCUCGAUGGCGGGGAACCUUAGCCCCAAUAAGAACUAAUUCCUGGGCUCCGGAGCUGAUAUCUGGAAGAACUUGCCAAUAAACGGGUGGCCUGCCAUUUAUCUAAGCCCUGCCAUCUCCCCUUAGUUCUAUAUAAGCACACAGCCUUUUGCAAUAAAAUUGGAAUUCUCCCGGCGAAGUGUCUUUGCGUGGGGAAUUCUUUCAAGUCUCACUAUAUGGAAGAGUUUUUUUCUAAACACUUAGGAAAAUAAUUCGGACCACAUAGUUGUUUUCAACAACUAUGCCCCGAACUAUUCUUCCCAUGAAUGGUUUUAUAGUUUCUUCAAAGUCACCGUCAAGAUUUACCCUUUUCAUGUAGCUAUUCAUCUAUUUACUGCACCCUGGCUCUGAUAUGCUCAAUUUAUGUUAAUCUGUUGUUGUAUUGUUUCACGUAUUCCCCAUGUUUAUGUACCAGUAAAGAUGACAAGACUCAAAAAUGCAUGCCUAAAACAUAA